rfam:Hordeum vulgare subsp. vulgare, WGS project CAJW01000000 data, contig: morex_contig_2537037
CCGGCGGAUGUUGCUUAUAGGACGCCGCCGGCACCUUAUGAGCAAUCAAAGUCUACGGGUUCCGGGGGGAGUAUGGUCGCGCGGCUGAAACUUAAAGGAAUUGACGGAAGGGCACCACCAGGCGUGGAGCCUGCGGCUUAAUUUGACUCAACACGGGGAAACUUACCAGGUCCAGACAUAGCAAGGAUUGACAGACUGAGAGCUCUUUCUUGAUUCUAUGGGUGGCGCUGCAUGGCCGUUCUUAGUUGGUGGAGCGAUUUGUCUGGGUAAUUCCGUUAACGAACGAGACCUCAGCCUGCUAACUANCUAUGCGGAGCCAUCCCUCUGCAGAUAGCUCCUUAGCGGGAGACUCGCC